rnacentral:rRNA from 1 species
ACAGAGGGUGCGAGCGUUGUUCGGAAUUACUGGGCGUAAAGCGCGCGCAGGCGGCCGUUUAAGUCUACCCGUGAAAUGCCGGGGCUCAACCCCGAGCACGCCGGGGGAUACUGGACGGCUGGAGACACGUAGAGGCAAGCGGAAUUCCGGGUGUAGCGGUGGAAUGCGUAGAUAUCUGGAGGAACACCGGUGGCGAAGGCGGCAUCCUGGACCAACAUUGACGCUGAGGCGCGAAAGCUAGGGGAGCAAACGGGA